rnacentral:ncRNA from 1 species
AAGAAGUUUUAUUCUUGCUAAUAAUUUAAUUUAAUUAUGUUUUAUAUGUAAAUUAUUGUUUUGGGAAAAUUUAAAUAGUUUAGAUAGUUUAUGCAGUAUAAAAUAUUAUUAAUUUAAGAAAUUUUGAUUUGGUAAUAAAUUUAAGUAUUAGUUAAAUAUGUGCCAGCAACUGCGGUUAUACAUAUAAUACGAUUGAAUUGGAUUAGUUAAAAUAAUUAGAAUAUAUAAUUUAGAUAAAAUUGAAUUUUAUUUGGUGGAAUAUUAAUAUUUAUUUUAUUUAUUUUUUAUUUAUUUGAAGUUAUGAAAUUUUAUUGAAAACUAGGAUUAGAUACCCUAUUAUGAAUAAAUUAAAGUAUAAUAACUUGAGUAGUAAUAGAUAUGACCUUGAAACUUAAAGAAUUUGGCGGUAUUUUAUUCUUAUUAGAGGAAUCUGUCCCGUAAUUGAUAUUCCGCAUUGGACCUUACUUAAUUUGAAUAAGGUUUAUAUAUCGCCGUUGUUGAGAAUAUUUUUAGAUUAUUUUCUGGAAAUUUAAUUUUAUAGUAUUUCAGGUCAAGGUGUAGUAAUAAUUAAGUGAGGGUGGAUUACAAUAUAAUUAAAAAUAGAUGAAUUAUGAAUUGGAAUAUUAUUUAUAUGAAGGUGGAUUUAAUAGUAAUAUUAUGUAGAUUGUUAAUAUGAUGAUGCUCUAAAAUAUGUACAUAUCGCCCGUCACUCUCAUUUUAAAAUGAGAUAAGUCGUAACAUAGUAAUCGUACCGGAAGGUGUGAUUAGGUUGAU